rnacentral:rRNA from 1 species
AGUCGAACGAAGUAGCAAUACUUAGUGGCAGACGGGUGAGUAACAUGUGGGUAUCUACCCUUUGGCCUGGAAUAACACGAGGAAACUUGUGCUAAUACCGGAUAAGUCUUUACGGAGAAAGUUUUAAUGCCAAAAGAUGAGCCCGCAUUUGAUUAGUUUGUUGGUGAGGUAAUGGCUCACCAAGACUAUGAUCAAUAGCUGAUUUGAGAGGAUGAUCAGCCACAUUGGGACUGAGACACGGCCCAAACUCC